GGGAAGGUAGCUCAGUGGUAAAGUGCAUGCUUUGCAAGCAUGAGGCCCUGGGUUCGAUUCCUCAGCACCA
rnacentral:tRNA from 1 species